AUUGAACGCUGGCGGCAGGCCUAACACAUGCAAGUCGAGCGGAUGAAGGGAGCUUGCUCCUGGAUUCAGCGGCGGACGGGUGAGUAAUGCCUAGGAAUCUGCCUGGUAGUGGGGGAUAACGUCCGGAAACGGGCGCUAAUACCGCAUACGUCCUGAGGGAGAAAGUGGGGGAUCUUCGGACCUCACGCUAUCAGAUGAGCCUAGGUCGGAUUAGCUAGUUGGUGGGGUAAGGGCCUACCAAGGCGACGAUCCGUAACUGGUCUGAGAGGAUGAUCAGUCACACUGGAACUGAGACACGGUCCAGACUCCUACGGGAGGCAGCAGUGGGGAAUAUUGGACAAUGGGCGAAAGCCUGAUCCAGCCAUGCCGCGUGUGUGAAGAAGGUCUUCGGAUUGUAAAGCACUUUAAGUUGGGAGGAAGGGCAGUAAGUUAAUACCUUGCUGUUUUGACGUUACCAACAGAAUAAGCACCGGCUAACUUCG
rnacentral:rRNA from 1 species